rnacentral:misc_RNA from 1 species
UUUCCGUAGGUGAACCUGCGGAAGGAUCAUUAAAAUACAGAGAAUAUUUUAUUCUUAUACCCAAUCUGAGUACUUGUACUUGUUGCUUUCGUGGGCAGCGAGCUGUUAGCUUGCGUCUGCUUUCAUUGUAGACCUGCGGGAGGUAUCAAUAAACCAUGCGUUACGUGAAAUCAGUCUGAAUUGUUUAAUUUUUAAACGUUAAAACUUUCAACAACGGAUCUCUUGGUUCUC